GAAGAAGAAGAAGAAGAAGAAGAAGCCUUAUGUUACCAGCCUAAAUUGGUAGAAUUAAGGAAGUUUUUAGUUCCCCUGCUAAUUCACAGAUAUAUAGAAAGCCUGCAUUUUUCAACCACCUUUGGCAAUUUGCUUUCAGUAGUUCAACAACUCCUCUGUGGACACCUUUUUAAUGUCUGUCUCGGUCUCUGGAUGUUGUGUAGAGGACGUCGACAAGACGAAGGCAGAUUUGUUCUCUGGCUCAGAAGAAAUGGUGAGCGAAGACUCGAUUACGAAAUCCGAGCGCUACCACAGGAGUUACAGAGUGUGGACAUCAAACUGCAGUCAUUCUGGUCAAACUGAUGUUCUGCUGAUGAGGAGUGCAACACUUCCUGUUGCGACGCACCCUGUAUCCUGUUUUUUUCCACAGUCAGUGGUCAUGUGUGUCAUUCCCCCAUCUGAGGCUGUGCGGGCACAAUCUUGUGACCCUGUGCUAAGACUGAUCUAGGGGGACUCCAGAUGUCUGAGAAAAACUCUGAAUGUCAGCAAAAACUAUCCAUAUAAGAGAAUAAAUAUAUCUAAGUCUGUUGAGAAAUGACUCUGACUUUAGCCAAGCUUUCUAAAAAGUUGAAGUGACAGAUUCCAGUGAACAACAGACAUAUGUCAAAGCACAUUCUUUAUGUUUUUAAGUGUAAAGUAAGCUGUAGCAGCACCUGCUUAGAGUGCCAUUUUGAAUCCAUUAGCAUGCUUCCUUUACAGUAUCACAGCCUCUUAAAAUAAUGCAUACAAAGAUAGUUAUGAAAACAUUGACACCUCUGUACCGCAGGCCCAAAGACUCGAGGGGCCAAACUACGUGACUGUAUAUUAAGAGGUGCCAGUGUAACUGUUUGCGUGCUUGUGUGUGUUUAAACCAUCACAGAUAUGUAUCUUGUGACUGCAUUCAGACGGAAAACUGUGAAGUGCCCAGUUACACCCUGUGGUGGGACAAACCAGAAAAGCAGUACUUGGUCAGAGCUGCUGCAUGUCACAAGUUUGUUACUUUACAGUGUGACACUUAUAUAAACAAAGCUGCUAACUUCAUUUUAUACACUAUAUAUUUAAUUUGAACUGUUGAUUUUACAGAGUGAGAUUAACCUAUUUAGAUACUGCUGCGGGGACACCAUAGUGUGUUAACUUGUUCAGUGCAGCAGAAGUAAUUUACAGCAGUAGUGUUCAUCCCAAAGUUAGUGUCCUUUGCAUUUGGUUAUUUGGAUUGGUUAGCUAAGUUUAGCACAAGACUAAAACAUAUGGUACACAGUUAGCCUUGUUUGAGUCACAUUUUGAUGUUGAAUUUUCUUGCUUUUAGUUGCAGCAAGUUUAGUUGAUUUCCCAGCUAUUUCCAAUCUUUGUGUUAAGCUAACCAGUUGUGGCUGUAGCAUCAGUUUUCCAAAUAGAAACUGGCGUAAUAUGCAUUUCCUCAUGUAACUUUGGGCAAAAAGGCAAGGGCUUACAAUGAACCUUUGUGUGACAAUAUCACUCUGUCAAAAUAAAAGCACUAAAGCAAGACGCAUUGCAGUUGAAUUCCGUGUUGUGAGGACUAACGAUGUAACAAAGAGAAAUAUUAAAGUAAAAUACCUCAUCGCUUUUAACUAGAUUUUUUUUUGUUAUAAUUUUGACCUGUGUUGGUGCGUAAAGCCCCAAUAUAGAUCAACACUCAGAUACAGCUAUAAUGGAUGUUGUGAAAGGGUUAAAUGUUUAGCAUGGCUAUUGUUUUGGAUGUUAUAAUAACAUACAUGUUCUAUGGUCAAUGGUGUCAGAGAAUAUUCUGGUGCUUACUUUGCCUUUUUUUUUAAGGUUGACCAACAAAUUGAAUGCAAUCAGACUGAUCCAGUAUAACUUCUUUACAAUGAUUGUAAUGUACAGGUUAUGCUAUAGAAGGGUGUACAUUUAAUAUGGGUUGUAGUUUGAGUUGUCGUUGUACUGGGUCGGGACAGAGGGUAA